GACGUAGGGCGCGAGCGUUGUCCGGAUUUAUUGGGCGUAAAGAGCGCGUAGGCGGCCAGAUAAGUCCGGUGUGAAAGUCAAAGGCUCAACCUUUGAAUGCCGCUGGAAACUGUCUGGCUAGAGUCCGGGAGGGGCGAGUGGAAUUCCGGGUGUAGCGGUGGAAUGCGUAGAUAUCCGGAAGAACACUUGAGGCGAAGGCGGCUUGCUGGGACGGUACUGACGCUGAGACGCGAAAGCGUGGGGAGCAAACAGG
rnacentral:rRNA from 1 species